CAUGAACGCUAGCUACAGGCUUAACACAUGCAAGUCGAGGGGAAACGACAUCGAAAGCUUGCUUUUGAUGGGCGUCGACCGGCGCACGGGUGAGUAACGCGUAUACAACCUGCCCACCACUUGGGGAUAACCUCUCGAAAGUAAGACUUAUACCUAAUGCUAUCUCUAGAAGACAUCUGAAAGAUAUAAAAGAUUUAUCGGUGAUGGAUGGGGAUGCGUCUGAUUAGCGUGUUGGCGGGGUAACGGCCCACCAAGGCGACGAUCAGUAGGGGUUCUGAGAGGAAGGUCCCACACAUUGGAACUGAGACACGGUCCAAACUCCUACGAGAGGCAGCAGUGAGGAAUAUUGGUCAAUGGGCGAGAGCCUGAAUCAGCCAAGUAGCGUGCAGGAAGACGGCCCUAUGGGUUGUGAACUGCUUUUAUAAGGGAAUAAAGUGAGUCUCGUGAGACUUUUUGCAUGUACCUUAUGAAUAAGGACCGGCUAAUUCCGUGCCAGCAGCCGCGGUAAAAC
rnacentral:rRNA from 1 species